GACAGAGGGUGCAACCGUUGUUCGGAAUUACUGGGCGUAAAGCGCGUGUAGGCUGCUUCGCAAGUCGGAUGUGAAAGCCCUGGGCUCAACCUAGGAAGUGCAUUCGAAACUGCGAAGCUUGAGUCCUGGAGAGGAAGGCGGAAUUCUCGGUGUAGAGGUGAAAUUCGUAGAUAUCGAGAGGAACACCGGUGGCGAAGGCGGCCUUCUGGACAGUGACUGACGCUGAGACGCGAAAGCGUGGGGAGCAAACAGG
rnacentral:rRNA from 1 species